AUUGAACGCUGGCGGCAUGCUUUACACAUGCAAGUCGAACGGUAACAGGGAGCUUGCUCCGCUGACGAGUGGCGAACGGGUGAGUAAUAUAUCGGAACGUACCCAGAAGUGGGGGAUAACGUAGCGAAAGUUACGCUAAUACCGCAUACGAUCCACGGAUGAAAGUAGGGGACCUUCGGGCCUCUUGCUUUUGGAGCGGCCGAUAUCUGAUUAGCUAGUUGGUGAGGUAAAGGCUCACCAAGGCGACGAUCAGUAGCUGGUCUGAGAGGACGACCAGCCAAACUGGAACUGAGACACGGUCCAGACUCCUACGGGAGGCAGCAGUGGGGAAUUUUGGACAAUGGGCGCAAGCCUGAUCCAGCAAUGCCGCGUGAGUGAAGAAGGCCUUCGGGUUGUAAAGCUCUUUUGUCAGGGAAGAAACGGCUGUGGCUAAUAUCCACGGCUAAUGACGGUACCUGAAGAAUAAGCACCGGCUAACUACGUGCCAGCAGCCGCCGUAA
rnacentral:rRNA from 1 species